rnacentral:rRNA from 1 species
AACCUGCCUUUGAGAAGGGGAUAACUGUCCGAAAGGAUAGCUAAUACCCUAUAUUGCCUUUUGUCACUAAGGCAAAAGGUGAAAGCGAGGCUGUCAAAGGCUUCGGCUCAAAGAGGGGUUCGCGUCCUAUCAGGUAGUUGGUGGGGUAAUGGCCUACCAAGCCAAUGACGGGUAGCUGGUCUUAGAGGAUGAUCAGCCACAGUGGGACUGAGACACGGCCCGCACCCCUACGGGGGGCAGCAGUGGGGAAUCGUGGGCAAUGGACGAAAGUCUGACCCCGCAAUGCCGCGUGAGGGAAGAAGCCCUUCGGGGUGUAAACCUCUGUCAGAUGGGAAGAUGAGAUUAGGGGCUAAUACCUCCUGGUCUUGACGGUUCCAUCAGAGGAAGGGACGGCUA